rnacentral:rRNA from 1 species
UACAGAGGUCUCAAGCGUUGUUCGGAUUUACUGGGCGUAAAGGGUGCGUAGGCGGUGGCGUAAGUCGGUUGUGAAAUUUCGGGGCUCAACCUCGAAACUGCACCCGAUACUGCGUCGCUUGAGGACUGUAGAGGAGUGUGGAAUUCACGGUGUAGCAGUGAAAUGCGUAGAGAUCGUGAGGAAGACCAGUGGCGAAGGCGACACUCUGGGCAGUUCCUGACGCUGAGGCACGAAGGCCAGGGGAGCAAACGGG